UGUAUCAAUUAGAUUGUUUGUUUUCUGAAGCUACUCAUGAGUAUCAAUUAGAUUAUUUGUUUUACUGAAGCUACUAUGAGUAUCAAUUAGGUUAUUUGUUUUACUGAAGCUACUAUGAGUAUCAAUUAGAUUAUUUGUUUUACUGAAGCUACUAUGAGUAUCAGACUGACUAUCAGUUUCUUAAAGUAAGUACAUCGCUCACAAAUUAUCUGAUGAAUAAAAGCACCCAAGCUGUGCAGGUCAGUUAACUUAUAUUUUUUUCAUAAAGAUCAAUGAUUUUUGGUCUUUUCUAAUAUAAUUUUUUAUGAACGUCAAGAUUAUCAAUAUUUUAAGAAAAGAGGCAUGUUUCUUUGCGAAGGCAAUACUAUCUUGGUUGGUGAUCAGUUCGAAUUAGAAAAUGUUGGCUUGUGGUUUAGGAAUCAGAUCUGAGUUGAGCCUGCUGAUACGUUUACCACCAACAGCACAAUGACUGUGAAAUGGCUAUAUCUUCAGAAGUACUCCCAGUAUAGAAUCUCUCACUCCGCAGUAGUAUGCAACCCGAUCUCACCUGUCCAGUCUCUCACAUCCAUCCAUCGGUCCAUCUGUCCGUCCACAUGCCUUUACACAUUUUGGCCAUCUAUCUCAAGCAUUAAAUGUUUUGGGCGUACAUUCUCAAUGUUACAAAUCUGCUUGUGGUCAAAUCUCAAUGGACGCUUGAAGUUUCGGUGUGCAGUAUGCGGCUUCCAGUGAAUUCGUUUGUGAGAAAAGUAAAUACUCAAAGUGGCAUUUUACCUGUUUGUUUAUUCAUUGACAGCAUUUAAUUCAAGAUAUUAUUUAAUGUGAUAAGAAACCAAAUUAAAACUUAUCAGUGAUCAAGGAGAGAACUUGAAUUUAUCACAGACAUUUGUACUUCACACAGUGUGUGUAAUCAAUAGUUUUGUGUUUUCUUUUUUGAUUAAAGUCAAUUUAUAGUGUUCCCUGCCAUGACAUUGCUGGAAUAUUGCUACAAGCGGUGUAAAACCAUACUCACUCACUCACUUAUAUUACUGUGACAUACUUCACAGAAUUAGGGUUCAAAGAGGACAUAGUUCUGUCUAUAUCACUAAGAAAAUGUCACAUGUACGACAUGUGCUUAAAUCUCUCAUUACCAUGACAACGAACCCGUAAAAGUUCAAAACAUUUCGACAUUUGUGACAUAUUAGACACAUCCUGUUUACUAGACAUAUAAUGACAAAAUGUGUUGUUUUAUCUGUAAUAACAGAUUUUUUUUCAGUUUUUUUAUGAAUCCUGUUCAGCAUUUGCCAAAUUGUGUUGUGAAAAUAUUUGUGUGCAUAAUAUUUCAACUUUUAGAUAAAACCUUAUUAUAAUAUUUUUUACUUAUGGUUUUACCAUUGAUAUUUUGUAUGUGUUUUGUCGUCCUUCACAGCCUGUGAAACAACAGCAAAUAGAUCUGUCUUUUUAUGUUAACUGCUUCCAUUUUGAUUGCCAUAAUAUUUACAAUUUAUUUUUGUGUGAUUUCUGUUUAUUUUUAGCUCACCUGGCUGGAGGUCAAGUGAAUGAAAUUGGUUGUCGUGGAAAUGUUUCUCCACUCAGUCAACAAAAUAUGCUAAAAGUAGAGACUUCCUGUUUGUCACAUUGUCCGAUGGGUCUGUAGAUGUAUCAGCCAUAGUUAAUGCUAGGAUUAUCAAAGUCCUUAACACCGACUGAUGGUUGUACUACAAAGAUAUGUCAGUUGAUAGAGCUGCCAUAAACUAGAGAACUAUGCUUAUAGGUUUUGUUUAACAUAAGACACACCAUGUGGUAUAGUAGAAAUAAAAAAAAUUCUUUUGUUAAAAGAUGAAAGAAAUAUAUUCUGAACUGUAGCUAUUCAUCUGGUAGAAUGUUUUCUUCUCAUGUCCAAAUGAUCCUUAUGGCCACCAAUACACCUUGAGCCAAAAAUAAUUAAAAUUCAAUCAUUAUGUGCAUUCAGCAAUGUUAAGUUGCAGAGACAAACAAGAAACAAAAGUUAUCCAACCCAAAGAUAAUUUUGAUAAAGAUAAAUUUGCAGGCUCAAGCAUUUCAUUAUUUUGGUUUAUGACUCGCUUAAACCAUUAUGGUAGAUUGUUUGGAACAGUAUAUACACUGUUAGUUUGACAACAGGGUUAUAGUACUGGACACUUUGUAGGCCUUUGGUUUUGCAUUCUACAUUCCUAGCAAAGGAAAUAUAUGUUUAAGUACAGCUUUGUAACCAAUAACAUAAUUCUGUUUGAUUACAGUCAUGCUUAUUUAUGUAUUGCCAUAUAUUACAUAUUAUAUUUUUAUAUUUUGUUUGGCCCUUUAGUUGUGGUAAGCCAUUCCUCUCUUCUGUGAGUUACGCACAAACCAGAUGACAGUAGACAUGCUUAGAAGACACAGGCUUUUGAUGGGACUUCCCAACCAGGAAUCUUGUCCUUAUUAACAUACCUACAGGACAGCAACUAAAUAUGUUCCAGAUGACAGUAGACAUGCUUAGAAGACACAGGCUUUUGAUGGGACUUACCAACCAGGAAUCUUGACCAUAUUAACAUACCUACAGGACAGCAACUAAAUAUGUUCUCAGUUUCAUUUAGUGAAUUUUAGAAGUCAACUCAGCAGUCACUUUUGAAGAUAUAAAAUGUGCUUGUGUAUAAUUUGCCUUAUAAACAACAGGAUUUCAAAAUGAAUUAUUAUUUUAGAAUAGUAUUCCAUUAUUAAUCAUCUUGUAAAAUCUAAUACAACUGUGUUUGAUAAGUAAACAUUGGAUUAAUAACUUUCUGAAUUUAAAUGAUGGGUUGAAAUUGAUUUUUAAAAUUUAUAUUCUAUUUUCACUGAUGAAGUACUAUGUUGUUUCACAAUGGACACAGUUUAGUCUUCAUGAUGAACAGGUCUUCUUGUGAAUAAUCUUUGGCUAAAAAUAAUGUACAGUGUGAAAUUAAAUACUGCACUAAUUUCAUUAUAUUAGGAGCAUAUGGUUUUAGAAUAACAACAGUGUAUCUAAUAGACCCUGUCAAGUCUUCUUCAUCCACAUUUCUCCAUACUGUUCUUAAUGUACAUAUGUGUAUCAUCAUAAGCAUAUACUAGGUAUUUACCUUCAGCUUGCCUUGUGCAAUAUUGCUUUAGGGUAGUGAAGUGACUUUCCAAGUGAGACAUGAUUAUUGUUGAAGUUAGGUUGACGAUGUUGUGAAGUUAGCCAUUCAGGGAUGUGGCUGUAGCUGUUGUCAUGGUCUCUGUUGUACUAUAUGUUCUCUGUUCUUUUUUCUUAUAUAAACUUCUGUUAGACUAAA
rnacentral:lncRNA from 1 species